AUCGUCUUUGUUGUACCCGGGCAGAGCUUCCUUCAGCAAAGGCAGCAACAUUGGACGGCCCAAGGCCAGAGAUUCCUUGAGCUGUGUGAUGCUGUGGACUUGGGGAAGUCUUGUGUUAAGUAACACCAGCUCCCCCGGAGACUGGUGGCCCUUGCCCAUGCCAAGUGGGACAAGGAGAAGGUCUCCAUGGGGGUGUGGCAACAGGAAGAGGUUAACUACUUGAUGACCUUGAGCACAGGUCAAGCCCUGGGGCUCCUGGAGCCUGAGGACUGAUCAAGUUAACCCCUGUGACACCACCUGUUCCCUCACCAGCUGUCAAUCAGAGAACUGUGCACGGUCUGAUCAUUUACUCUGCGACCCUCUUCCCUCACCCGGCUCUUAGAAAUGCUCUGCUAAAUGCCUGCAGGGAGCUUGAGGCUUUCUAGGGCCUGAGUCACCCCCUCUCCUGGCUCGGCCCUGCAAUAAGGCA
rnacentral:lncRNA from 1 species